GAGUGCUCACUUUGUGAGAACCACGUGACAGGUACUGCAUGGCUGUCGUCAGUUCGUGUCGUAAGAUGUUGGGUUAAGUCCCGUAACGAACGCAACCCCUGUCUUUAGUUGCCAGCAUUAAGUUGGGGACUCUAGAGAGACUGCCAAGGUGACAACUUGGAGGAAGGUGGGGAUGACGUCAAGUCCAUAUGGUCCUUACAUCCAGGGCGAGAAACGUGCUACAAUGGUUGGUACAAUGGGGAGCAAAAUCGCAAGAUUGAGCAAAUCCUCAAAACUAAUCUCAGUUCGGAUUGGAGUCUGCAACCCGACUCCANGAAGUUGGAAUCGCUAGUAAUCGCGGAUCAGCAUGCCGCGGUGAAUACGUAUCCGGGUCUUGUACACACCGCCCGUCAAGUCAACCGAGUUAUUC
rnacentral:rRNA from 1 species